rnacentral:rRNA from 1 species
AUGGACGAAAGUCUGACCGAGCAACGCCGCGUGAGUGAAGAAGGUUUUCGGAUCGUAAAGCUCUGUUGUAAGUCAAGAACGUGUGUGAGAGUGGAAAGUUCACACAGUGACGGUAGCUUACCAGAAAGGGACGGCUAACUACGUGCCAGCAGCCGCGGUAAUACGUAGGUCCCGAGCGUUGUCCGGAUUUAUUGGGCGUAAAGGGAGCGCAGGCGGUCAGGAAAGUCUGGAGUAAAAGGCUAUGGCUCAACCAUAGUGUGCUCUGGAAACUGUCUGACUUGAGUGCAGAAGGGGAGAGUGGAAUUCCAUGUGUAGCGGUGAAAUGCGUAGAUAUAUGGAGGAACACCAGUGGCGAAAGCGGCUCUCUGGUCUGUCACUGACGCUGAGGCUCGAAAGCGUGGGUAGCGAACAGGAUUAGAUACCCUGGUAGUCCACGCCGUAAACGAUGAGUGCUGGGUGUUAGGCCCUUUCCGGGGCUUAGUGCCGGAGCUAACGCAAUAAGCACUCCGCCUGGGGAGUACGACCGUAAGGUUGAAACUCAAAGGAAUUGACGGGGGCCCGCACAAGCGGUGGAGCAUGUGG